rnacentral:rRNA from 1 species
AUUGAACGCUGGCGGCAUGCUUUACACAUGCAAGUCGAACGGCAGCGCGGGCUUCGGCCUGGCGGCGAGUGGCGAACGGGUGAGUAAUGCAUCGGAACGUGCCCAGUAGUGGGGGAUAGCCCGGCGAAAGCCGGAUUAAUACCGCAUACGACCUGAGGGUGAAAGCGGGGGACCGAAAGGCCUCGCGCUAUUGGAGCGGCCGAUGUCGGAUUAGCUAGUUGGUGGGGUAAAGGCUUACCAAGGCGACGAUCCGUAGCUGGUCUGAGAGGACGACCAGCCACACUGGGACUGAGACACGGCCCAGACUCCUACGGGAGGCAGCAGUGGGGAAUUUUGGACAAUGGGGGCAACCCUGAUCCAGCCAUGCCGCGUGCGGGAUGACGGCCUUCGGGUUGUAAACCGCUUUCGCCUGUGACGAAGCGUGAGUGACGGUAAUGGGUAAAGAAGCACCGGCUAACUACGUG